rnacentral:snoRNA from 2 species
AUGACCUUACUUGAACAGGAUCUGUUCUAUAGGCUCGUACCUUUGUAUUCAAACCCAUGUCUGUUUGAUGAACCAGGACCAUGUAACCAGAGCGUGACUAUGGUCCUGACUAUGGCUUAGUAGAGGAUCGUUGUUAGUCCAUCUUCUUGGGCUUGACAUGGUUGCAUGGUUGUCUGACAGACA